rnacentral:lncRNA from 10 species
GGGAAGUCAGCCUAGUAUUAAUAGCACAGUUCCAGCUGCACUGUGGGUCCAGCAGACUUCUGACGGUCCGGCCUGGGAACCAAGGCACUCUUUGUAACAUUUAUGGGAAAUGGAGUCCUCGUUGAGAAUGGUGGGAAGACAGUACUGAGGCGGUACAAGGCCCAUGGCUUCUCACUUCCCCUUUCUACUCUAAUCACUUCCAACGCCACUAUCCAGCAGGACGAGAUGGAGGGGAAUCCUAGAGGAAUCCUUCUCUAGCCUUCAAGUCUGGGGAGAGCCUGCCCUGUUCCUGGCC